rnacentral:lncRNA from 1 species
UCUUACCGAAAAAACUUCCAAAUUUGUACACGUGAUUUGGUUCACUCAAUACAGAAUAUCCGAAGUAUGGUGCCAAGUGAAAGAUAUCCCCAGUGUCGUCAGGUUUUACGGGUUUUACGGGUUUUACGUGUCUAAUAAGGCUGCCAUAGGCCGUCAAAGGUGGGUGAUGUGCUAUGUCCAACCCAGAAUUAAUAUUUCCACUCAACACUUGUCCAGUCUCAACAUGGUGAUUAACAGUCAGAUAAUGACCAUAUACAGUCGACAAGAGAAUAGCAAAUAUUAGCAGUUGGUGCAUCCUGUUCGUAGAAGUUUACAUAAAUAAUGAUUUUAUUUUUUAGCAUAUAUUUCAUUCCUAUUUGUCACUUCAGAAGUUC